AGGGAAUAUUGGACAAUGGGUGCGAGCCUGAUCCAGCCAUGCCGCGUGGGUGAAGAAGGCCCUAGGGUUGUAAAGCCCUUUCGGCGGGGACGAUGAUGACGGUACCCGCAGAAGAAGCCCCGGCUAACUUCGUGCCAGCAGGCGCGGUAAUACGAAGGUCCCGCGCGUUGGUCGGAAUCACUGGGCGUAAAGGGAGCGGAGGCGGCGUGGGAAGUCAGAUGUGAAAUCCCGGGGCGCAACCCCGGAAG
rnacentral:rRNA from 1 species